GCUGGGCGUGGUGGUGCGCGCCUAUAAUCCCAGCUACUUGGGAGGCUGAGGCAGGAGAAUCGCUUGAACCUGGGAGGUGGAGGUUGCAGCGAGCUGAGAUUGCACCACUGCACUCCAGCCUGGGUGACAAAGUGAGAUUCUGUCUCAA
rnacentral:SRP_RNA from 2 species